rnacentral:rRNA from 1 species
UACAGAGGUCUCAAGCGUUGUUCGGAUUCAUUGGGCGUAAAGGGUGCGUAGGCGGCGCGGUAAGUCGGGUGUGAAAUCUCGGAGCUUAACUCCGAAACUGCAUUCGAUACUGCCGUGCUUGAGGACUGGAGAGGAGACUGGAAUUUACGGUGUAGCGGUGAAAUGCGUAGAUAUCAGGAGGAACACCUGUGGCGAAAGCGGCUCACUGGACCAUAACUGACGCUGAUGCACGAAAGCUAGGGGAGCAAACAGG